rnacentral:rRNA from 1 species
AGCGGCGGACGGGUGAGUAACGCGUAGGCAACCUGCCCCAUACAGAGGGAUAGCCUCGGGAAACCGGGAUUAAAACCUCAUAACGCUGGGAGUUCACAUGGACAUCCAGCCAAAGAUUUAUCGGUAUGGGAUGGGCCUGCGUCUGAUUAGCUAGUUGGUGGGGUAACGGCCUACCAAGGCAACGAUCAGUAGCCGACCUGAGAGGGUAAUCGGCCACAUUGGAACUGAGACACGGUCCAAACUCCUACGGGAGGCAGCAGUGGGGAAUAUUGCACAAUGGGCGAAAGCCUGAUGCAGCAACGCCGCGUGAGCGAUGAAGGCCUUUGGGUCGUAAAGCUCUGUCCUUGGGGAAGAAAAAAAUGACGGUACCCUUGGAGGAAGCCCCGGCUAACUACGUGCCAGCAGCCGCGGUAAUACGUAGGGGGCAAGCGUUAUCCGGAAUUAUUGGGCGUAAAGAGUGCGUAGGUGGUUUUGUAAGCGCAGGGUGAAAGGCAAUAGCUCAACUAUUGUAAGCCUUGCGAACUGCAAGACUUGAGUGCAGGAGAGGAAAGUGGAAUUCCUAGUGUAGGAGUGAAAUCCGUAGAUAUUAGGAGGAACACCAGUGGCGAAGGCGGCUUUCUGGACUGUAACUGACACUGAGGCACGAAAGCGUGGGGAGCAAACAGGAUUAGAUACCCUGGUAGUCCACGCC